AGCGAACGCUAGCGGCGGGCCUAACACAUGCAAGUCGAGCGGGGGAGCAAUCCCCAGCGGCGGACGGGGUGAGUAACACGUAGGUUAUGUGCCCUUUGGUGGGGAAUAACCGUGGGAAACCAUGGCUAAUUCCGCAUAUCGAGCGAAAUCUUGAAAGCCUUCGGGCGCCAAAAGGAGCAACCUGCGGCCCAUUAGCUUGUUGGUAGGGUAACGGCCUACCAAGGCGAUGAUGGGUAGCUGGUCUGAGAGGAUGAUCAGCCACACUGGAACUGAGACACGGUCCAGACUCCUACGGGAGGCAGCAGUGGGGAAUAUUGCGCAAUGGGGGAAACCCUGACGCAGCCAAGCCGCGUGGGUGAUGAAGGCCUUCGGGUUGUAAAGCCCUGUCGGGAGGGACGAAGUUCUUGACGGUACCUCCAAAGAAAGCACCGGCUAAACUCCGUGCCAGCAGCC
rnacentral:rRNA from 1 species